rnacentral:rRNA from 1 species
CAUGCAAGUCGAACGAACCCUUCGGGGUUAGUGGCGCACGGGUGCGUAACGCGUGGGAAUCUGCCCUUUGCUUCGGAAUAACAGUUAGAAAUGACUGCUAAUACCGGAUGAUGUCUUCGGACCAAAGAUUUAUCGGCAAGGGAUGAGCCCGCGUAGGAUUAGGUAGUUGGUGGGGUAAAGGCCUACCAAGCCGACGAUCCUUAGCUGGUCUGAGAGGAUGAUCAGCCACACUGGGACUGAGACACGGCCCAGACUCCUACGGGAGGCAGCAGUGGGGGAUAUUGGACAAUGGGCGCAAGCCUGAUCCAGCAAUGCCGCGUGAGUGAUGAAGGCCUUCGGGUCGUAAAGCUCUUUUACCAGGGAUGAUAAUGACAGUACCUGGAGAAUAAGCUCCGGCUAACUCCGUGCCAGCAGCCGCGGUAAUACGGAGGGAGCUAGCGUUGUUCGGAAUUACUGGGCGUAAAGCGCACGUAGGCGGCGACACAAGUCAGAGGUGAAAGCCCGGGGCUCAACCCCGGAACUGCCUUUGAAACUAGGUUGCUAGAAUCUUGGAGAGGUCAGUGGAAUUCCGAGUGUAGAGGUGAAAUUCGUAGAUAUUCGGAAGAACACCAGUGGCGAAGGCGACUGACUGGACAAGU